AGGUAAAGCACAUCACAAGACAAAAGGUCAAAAGAAAAUGUCUCUUGCUAUGCCACAUAUUACAAAUCUUACACCAUUUCAAGGAUCUUCACUGUCUAAUCAGGUAUACUGUAGAAGACUUAUAUGUUAACUAAAAUAUUAAAAGUACAUUUAUCAACAUUUAAAGAGCCCUUGAGGCUUGAUUACAUUAACAAGGGCUUGUUCCUUGUGUAUACCUAAUACAUGUGUAGUUACACAAAUAUGCAAAUGACGUCAUAACGUGCAUCCUACAAAUCAUAUUCUUACCAUGCUAUGACAGAGAUGCUAUGGUAUCGUCUAUAUUGUGUAUUUAUAACUGAUCAAAACUGAACAGGGAUUAUUGUAUGCAUGAAGUCAAUUCAGCUUAUGUUCUAUCUUUAGUAUCGACAGGAAGGGUUUUUCAACAUCUUAGAUAGUUUUUUGAGUUUGAAAAUUGUCUUCACUCCUCGGUUUGUUUUGGCGCGAAACGCGAGAGGUCCGUAUCGUGUGACACGGAUCUCUCGGUCAGCCAACCAGAAGGCUCGAUUUACGUUACGGACCUGGGGUUGCUGACCGGAAAAUAAAUAUUUAUAAAAAGAAAUAUUUUGAAUCGGUCGAAUAUUCUUUACGAUACGAUCGGUAGUUCUCGAACAAUACAGUGUACUGGCCAAAAUGAAUAUAUUUGUAAAAUAUUUUAAUAAAUAAUUUGUAAAAUAAUUUGUUUUUCAGGGAACCUCGAAUGGCGAAGAUCCUAAUUUGCCAUCUGUAUAGGUAAAACACAAGAAUAACGGGGUCGUUCAUCGAUAUUGAAUAUGCAUUAUUUAUAAGCGAGGAUAGCGUCUAAAUAGCGUGAUAGAUCCUGAUCGACAGCCUACGGCGUCCUUUCACGACGAAGUGACAUCAACCACCUCGCCAGAGUUGUUGCAUGGUUGAAGAUAUUGCCAAUGACAAUUAAUUUUAAUGUGUACAUAUUUCAAUUGUAAUUUUAAUGUGAAGUUAGUUGUGAUGUUUAUAGAAUUAAAAGUGUCAACAGUG